rnacentral:tRNA from 1 species
UGAGCUUUAAGUUAUAAAAACUUAGGGCCUUCAAAGCCCUCAAAGACUAAGUCAAGCUU